UUUGGUGACAAUAGCAAAGAGGUCACACCUGUUCCCAUGCCGAACACAGAAGUUAAGCUCUUUAGCGCCGAUGGUAGUC
rnacentral:rRNA from 1 species